GCCUACGAUCAUACUACGUUGAAAGCACCGCAUCCCAUCAGAUCUGCGAAGUUAAGCAACGUUAGGCCGGGUUAGUACUAUGGUUGGAGACAACAUGGGAACACUCGGUGUCGUAGGCU
rnacentral:rRNA from 1 species